AAACAAUUUAGUUAAUAAACAGUUUAGUUAAAUAUAAAAACUUUGGUUUGUGAUGGAUUUAUCUCUAAAGACCAUAGCAUUUAGACAACAUUGGAAUAAACCAUUAAGUCGUUUUAUAUAUAUAAUUUGAAUAAUUAGUAUGAAUAAGCACGGCAAAACUUACAUGAAUUACGAAUUAUUCAUGUAUACAUACAGGAAGUUAAACCGAGCCUACCGAAUGAUCCCAUUGACAUUCGAACAAUAUGUAAAGACAGCAUCGGCAGGAGGGCGGCAAUAAAGACACAAAUCGUAUGAAAUAAAGAUCACAAACGUUUUAGCAGGCUAUACUGUCCCA
rnacentral:lncRNA from 1 species